AAUCUGCCUUUAGGUCGGGGACAACAGUUGGAAACGACUGCUAAUACCGGAUGUGCAGCUAUGUGAAAGAUUUAUUGCCUAAAGAUGAGCUCGCGUCUGAUUAGCUAGUAGGUGUGGUAAUGGCGCACCUAGGCGACGAUCAGUAACUGGUCUGAGAGGAUGACCAGUCACACUGGGACUGAGACACGGCCCAGACUCCUACGGGAGGCAGCAGUGGGGAAUUUUCCGCAAUGGGCGCAAGCCUGACGGAGCAAUACCGCGUGAGG
rnacentral:rRNA from 1 species